GAUGAACGCUAGCGGCAGGCUUAACACAUGCAAGUCGAGGGGUAGAGUUAGCUUGCUAACUUGAGACCGGCGCACGGGUGCGUAACGCGUAUGCAAUCUACCUUGUACAGAGGGAUAGCCCAGAGAAAUUUGGAUUAAUACCUCAUAGUAUUAUUGAAUGGCAUCAUUUGAUUAUUAAAGUUCCAACGGUACAAGAUGAGCAUGCGUCCCAUUAGCUAGAUGGUAAGGUAACGGCUUACCAUGGCAACGAUGGGUAGGGGUCCUGAGAGGGAGAUCCCCCACACUGGUACUGAGACACGGACAAGCCUCCUACGGGAGGCUGCAGUGAGGAAUAUUGGUCAAUGGGCGCAAGCCUGGACCAGCCAUGCCGCGUGCAGGAAGACGGUCCUAUGGAUUGUAAACUGCUUUUAUACGGGAAGAAACCCUGCUACGUGUAGCAGCUUGACGGUACCGUAAGAAUAAGCAUCGGCUAACUCCGUGCCAGCCGCCGCGGUAA
rnacentral:rRNA from 1 species